AUGGCGCAUUUCUGGAGUGUCGCGGCGGCCGAGCUCACCGGCAGCCACCUCGACGAGGUCAAGCGCAUGGUGGCGCGAUUCCGUGGGCCUGUCGUCAGGAUCCUGGGGGCCGGCCUCAGCUUCGGCCAGGUGGCUGCCGUUGCACACGCCAAGGACGCGGCCAGCGUCACCGUCGAGCUCGCCAACGAGGCGCGCGUCCGCGUCCAGGCCUGCAGCGACUGGAUCGUCGACUCGGUGGCAAACGGAGGUGACAUCUACGGCGUCACCACGGGCUUUGGUGGCACCUCCCACCGUCGCACAAAAGAUGGGCACGGCCUCCAGGUCGAGCUUGUCAGGUGA
rnacentral:rRNA from 1 species